CAGCUAGUUGGUAGGGUAAAGGCCUACCAAGGCUACGACGGGUCGCUGGUCUGAGAGGACGACCAGCCACACUGGCACUGAGAUACGGGCCAGACUCCUACGGGAGGCAGCAGUGAGGAAUAUUGCGCAAUGGGGGAAACCCUGACGCAGCAACGCCGCGUGUGGGAAGAAGGCCUUCGGGUCGUAAACCACUUUUGCACGGGUACGAAAAAGGGAUAUCGAACAAAUAUCCCCGAUGACGGUACCGUGAGAAUAAGCCAACGGCUAACUCUGUGCCAGCAGCCGCGGUAA
rnacentral:rRNA from 1 species